rnacentral:rRNA from 1 species
AACUUAAGCAUAUCAAUAAGCGGAGGAAAAGAAACCAACAGGGAUUACCUCAGUAACGGCGAGUGAAGCGGUAAGAGCUCAAAUUUGAAAGCUGGCUCCUUCGGGGUCCGCAUUGUAAUUUGCAGAGGAUGUUUCGGGAGCAGCCCCCAUCUAAGUGUCCUGGAACGGACCGUCAUAGAGGGUGAGAAUCCCGUAUGGGAUGGGGUGUCUGCGCCCAUGUGAAACUCCUUCGACGAGUCGAGUUGUUUGGGAAUGCAGCUCUAAAUGGGUGGUAAAUUUCAUCUAAAGCUAAAUAUUGGCCGGAGACCGAUAGCGCACAAGUAGAGUGAUCGAAAGAUGAAAAGCACUUUGAAAAGAGAGUUAAAAAGCACGUGAAAUUGUUGAAAGGGAAGCGCUUGCGAUCAGACUCGCCUUGGGGGUUCAGCCGGCAUUCGUGCCGGUGUACUUCCCCCAGGGCGGGCCAGCGUCGGUUUGGGUGGCCGGUCAAAGGCCCUUGGAAUGUAACGCCUCUCGGGGCGUCUUAUAGCCAAGGGUGCCAUGCGGCCUACCUGGACCGAGGAACGCGCUUCGGCUCGGACGCUGGCAUAAUGGUCGUAAGCGACCCGUCUUGAAACACGGACCAAGGAGUCUAACAUCUACGCGAGUGUUCGGGUGUCAAACCCGUGCGCGCAGUGAAAGCGAACGGAGGUGGGAACCCUUUGGGUGCACCAUCGACCGAUCCUGAUGUCUUCGGAUGGAUUUGAGUAAGAGCGUAGCUGUUGGGACCCGAAAGAUGGUGAACUAUGCCUGAAUAGGGCGAAGCCAGAGGAAACUCUGGUGGAGGCUCGCAGCGGUUCUGACGUGCAAAUCGAUCGUAGAAUUUGGGUAUAGGGGCGAAAGACUAAUCGAACCAUCUAGUAGCUGGUUCCUGCCGAAU